GUUAGAAUCAGAGGUUUGAGUCGAGCUUUAGGCAAUGUUAUAGGAAGAGUCCUAGGAAAAGAAGUCAGUCGUGAUGCAGAUGAAGUCAUCCUAGUGGCGAAGGCCCACAACAUCCGCACAUAGGCAACGGGAAGUUGCGCAUGUUGUUGAGGAUGUUCACGAUAUGGAUCAUGCAGAUGACGAGAUCCAUGAACAACAUGAAGAAAUAGCUGCUGAUGAUGUGGCGGAUGCUAAGGGUUUUUCAGGCGAACCCCACAACACAUCAGUGUUGCAAGAUUAUGUUUAUCAUGUGGCCGCGAAAGUUUAGAAUAGAGAGGAACGUCCUGAGGUGAAAUUAUCCUCCCAUGGAAGGAAGGUUGAGAAAUUUGGCAAGCCUGCCCUAGGAACGUCCUUAGUGGCUGCCACAGGAUUAAGUCCUUUAAUCACAUGUUCGCUAGACACUCGUGAUCAGGGACUUAUGUCUGCUUUCAUGGAAAGGUGGCAUAAGGAAACUAGUACUUUCCGUCAGUCGGUAGGAGAAGUGACUAUCACCUUGGAUGAUGUGGCAUCGUUGCUGCAUUUGCCCAUUACAGGCGCGUUCCAUACUUUUGAGCCUCUUCAUAUGGACGAUGUCAUGUUGCUCUUAGUUGAAUUGCAUGAAGUAAGUGUUGAAGAGGCAAGAGCUAAGACAGUACAAUGUCAUGGGGCAUAUGUUCGACUAUCCUGGCUGCAAGACGUAUAUCGGAGCAAAUGUGACACAGUACAGUGGACUUUAGCAGCUCAAGCAUAUUUGUUGCAUCUGCUUGGUUGCACACUCUUUGUUAACAAGAGUGCCACACACGUUCAUAUGGUAUACUUGGAUGCAUUUCGAGACCUGACGCAUAGUGGAAGCUACACAUGAGGAGUUGUUGCACUGGUGCAUAUGUAUGACAAUUUGAAUGAUUCAUCAAAGAGCACUGUCAGGCAGCUUUGUUGCAUCUACGAACACUUUCCUUCUAUUGGUUCUGCUGUUGCUGCUGAGGAUUAUGAGAGGAAACCACGUACCUGCCAUUGGAAGUCUGGGAAGACAUUACUAGUAUUGACGUAUCGUAGGUGUUUGGAUAGAUUGAUGUCUAAUAUUGUAUGUUGGAUUCCGUAUGGUGACCACCGUGCAUUCAGAGAGUUUGAAGUUAUCUCUUUAUUUUCUGGACAUAUCAGAUGGGGUCUAUCUAUUGUCAUACACUGACCGAAGAGGGUUGUACGACAGUUUGGGUAUGUGCAGACCAUUUCCCCACACUCUGCUGCUCCUUCUCUCUGUAUAGAAGACAUUGAUGAUAGAUGGAUUCAAUUUUUUGAAUACAUUGCACUGGUGGGUCAGAUAUGUGUAGCGCUUGGUAAGUGUUCACUAGACUACAUGGAUUGGUUCUACUUAAUAUCUCAUCCCUUCAUGAGUCCGGCACAGCCUGGGGAUCCUCCUAUACAUCCGUCCGUGCAGCACCAUGACACAUUUGUUGAACAAGAUGUUGCUCAGCAUCUAGUGGCGGCAAUGGCUAUGGAUGAAGCACCUGAAGAUGCACAUGUUGAUGUAGAGCAGCCUCGACAUGUAGUGGAAGCUUGCCAAGCAAUAGUUGAAAGGUUGGAAAGGCUAUUGAACCUAAGAAUAGUGACCGAAGGAAUAGAAGCUACACUGUCACCGAAGAAUGCUCGAGGAUCGCAAGAGGUGUCACUGCACAAUGAAAUGUCUACGUUCGAUCGAGACUAAGGCGGCGUAUGGAAGACACAUGAAGAGUUUUUUUAUUUACCGAGUUUUAUAUGAUUUAUGGUUUUAUAUGAUUGAA